GGUUCCGGUGCCGUCGGCCGUCUUCUUUGCAAGGACCACCGGGGAGAAAGAAACCCCACCAAGCCCCACCCCUCCCGCCCACGGCGCAUGCUCACUCUCGCGAGUGAACAUCACCAACUCAGCUGGAUUCGGUACCGGUUGCCUGCUCUACGCUCAGCGCGACACAGCACAACGCACAUGCCCCAGACAUACGACGGCCCUCGCAGGGACUGGCAUCCCUUGCGAGGGCCUGACCACCAAGGAAGCAACACCUUCCCG
rnacentral:ncRNA from 1 species